GGGCUGGCAUUGCUCUCAAUGACAACUUUGUCAAGCUCAUUUCCUGGUAUGACAAUGAAUAAGGCUACAGCAACAGGGUGGUGGACCUCAUGGCCUACAUGGCCUCCAAGGAGUAAGAAACCCUGGACCACCCACCCCAGCAAGGACACUGAAGAGAGGCCCUAAUCCAACUCGGCCCCCAACACUGAGCAUCUCCCUCACAAUUUCCAUCCCAGACCCCCAUAAUAACGGGAGGGGCCUAGGGAGCCCUCCCUACUCUCUUGAAUACCAUCAAUAAAGUUCGCUGCACCC
rnacentral:lncRNA from 1 species